rnacentral:rRNA from 1 species
CAAGACAACUUUACGGAGUUGACGAUUGACGGAGCGAAGCGACGUCAAAGCGUUCAUUAAAGUCGAGUUGGCUUAGGGAUACGUUCGUUGGGUAGGGGAGCGUUCUGUAAGCCUGUGAAGGUGUGUCGUGAGGCAUGCUGGAGGUAUCAGAAGUGCGAAUGCUGACAUAAGUAACGAUAAAGCGGGUGAAAAGCCCGCUCGCCGGAAGACCAAGGGUUCCUGUCCAACGUUAAUCGGGGCAGGGUGAGUCGACCCCUAAGGCGAGGCCGAAAGGCGUAGUCGAUGGGAAACGGGUUAAUAUUCCCGUACUUGGUGUUACUGCGAAGGGGGGACGGAGAAGGCUAUGUUGGCCGGGCGACGGUUGUCCCGGUUUAAGCGUGUAGGUGUGUGUUCCAGGUAAAUCCGGUUCACUUUAACACUGAGGCGUGACGACGAGGCACUACGGUGCUGAAGCAACAAAUGCCCUGCUUCCAGGAAAAGCCUCUAAGCAUCAGGUAACACGAAAUCGUACCCCAAACCGACACAGGUGGUCAGGUAGAGAAUACCAAGGCGCUUGAGAGAACUCGGGUGAAGGAACUAGGCAAAAUGGUGCCGUAACUUCGGGAGAAGGCACGCUGACACGUAGGUGAAGUGAUUUACUCAUGGAGCUGAAGUCAGUCGAAGAUACCAGCUGGCUGCAACUGUUUAUUAAAAACACAGCACUGUGCAAACACGAAAGUGGACGUAUACGGUGUGACGCCUGCCCGGUGCCGGAAGGUUAAUUGAUGGGGUCAGCGUAAGCGAAGCUCCUGAUCGAAGCCCCGGUAAACGGCGGCCGUAACUAUAACGGUCCUAAGGUAGCGAAAUUCCUUGUCGGGUAAGUUCCGACCUGCACGAAUGGCGUAAUGAUGGCCAGGCUGUCUCCACCCGAGACUCAGUGAAAUUGAACUCGCUGUGAAGAUGCAGUGUACCCGCGGCAAGACGGAAAGACCCCGUGAACCUUUACUAUAGCUUGACACUGAACAUUGAGCCUUGAUGUGUAGGAUAGGUGGGAGGCUUUGAAGUGUGGACGCCAGUCUGCAUGGAGCCGACCUUGAAAUACCACCCUUUAAUGUUUGAUGUUCUAACGUGGACCCGUAAUCCGGGUUGCGGACAGUGUCUGGUGGGUAGUUUGACUGGGGCGGUCUCCUCCUAAAGAGUAACGGAGGAGCACGAAGGUUGGCUAAUCCUGGUCGGACAUCAGGAGGUUAGUGCAAUGGCAUAAGCCAGCUUGACUGCGAGCGUGACGGCGCGAGCAGGUGCGAAAGCAGGUCAUAGUGAUCCGGUGGUUCUGAAUGGAAGGGCCAUCGCUCAACGGAUAAAAGGUACUCCGGGGAUAACAGGCUGAUACCGCCCAAGAGUUCAUAUCGACGGCGGUGUUUGGCACCUCGAUGUCGGCUCAUCACAUCCUGGGGCUGAAGUAGGUCCCAAGGGUAUGGCUGUUCGCCAUUUAAAGUGGUACGCGAGCUGGGUUUAGAACGUCGUGAGACAGUUCGGUCCCUAUCUGCCGUGGGCGCUGGAGAACUGAGGGGGGCUGCUCCUAGUACGAGAGGACCGGAGUGGACGCAUCACUGGUGUUCGGGUUGUCAUGCCAAUGGCACUGCCCGGUAGCUAAAUGCGGAAGAGAUAAGUGCUGAAAGCAUCUAAGCACGAAACUUGCCCCGAG